AGCGAACGCUGGCGGCAGGCCUAACACAUGCAAGUCGAACGAACCUUUCGGGGUUAGUGGCGGACGGGUGAGUAACACGUGGGAACGUGCCUUUAGGUUCGGAAUAACUCAGGGAAACUUGUGCUAAUACCGAAUGUGUCCUUCGGGGGAAAGAUUAAUCGCCUUUAGAGCGGCCCGCGUCUGAUUAGCUAGUUGGUUGAGGUAAUGGCUCACCAAGGCGACGAUCAGUAGCUGGUCUGAGAGGAUGAUCAGCCACAUUGGGACUGAGACACGGCCCAAACUCCUACGGGAGGCAGCAGUGGGGAAUCUUGCGCAAUGGGCGAAAGCCUGACGCAGCCAUGCCGCGUGAAUGAUGAAGGUCUUAGGAUUGUAAAAUUCUUUCACCGGGGACGAUAAUGACGGUAACCGGAGAAGAAGCCCCGGCUAACUUCGUG
rnacentral:rRNA from 1 species